UACGGAAGGCAGCAGUGGGGAAUAUUGCACAAUGGGCGAAAGCCUGAUGCAGCUAUGCCGCGUGUAUGAAGAAGGCCUUAGGGUUGUAAAGUACUUUCAUCGGGGAGGAAAAACAAAACUAAUAAUUUUAUUUCUUGACGUUACCCGAAAAAGAAGCACCGGCUAACUCCGUGCCAGCAGCCGCGGUAAUACGGAGGGUGCUAGCGUUAAUCAGAAUUACUGGGCGUAAAGAGCACGUAGGUGGUUUUUUUAAGUCAGAUGUGAAAUCCCUGGGCUUAACCUAGGAACUGCAUUUUGAAACUGAAAUACUAGAGUAUCGUAGAGGGAGGUAGAAUUCUAGGUGUAGCGGUGAAAUGCGUAGAUAUCUGGAGGAAUACCUGUGGCGAAAGCGGCCUCCUAAACGAAUACUGACACUGAGAUGCGAAAGCGUGGGGAGCGAAACAGGGAUUAGAUACC
rnacentral:rRNA from 1 species